CGAAAUUGGCAUAUAAAGCCUCAAAAUCUGCAACACGGAAAAGUAGGGCGAGGUGUUUGAGAAAACUGAGCACUGAAAACGACUGCUUCUGCUUUCAGGAAAUAGAUUAUGUUGCGGUUCCUUCCGUGUAAUACAUUAUAUGGUACUGAGAGUUCUAAAAAUAAGAAAUUUUUAUGCUUGAACUUACCCUGUUACUUUUUCGUCGCUUCAAAAUUGCCACCCCAUGUCAAACAUAGCCGACACCCCGCAUGUGGCGUUCUACACGGUG
rnacentral:lncRNA from 1 species